AACCCAUGUUGAGAACAUUUCCGAAGGAGUUCCUUAAACCUAUCGCAUGUCUCAAAAAUAGACUCAAAUUUCAUUUCCACAAAGAAGGAUAUUUCAUUCCUAAAGCAU